CUGGAGGUAUCAGAAGUGCGAAUGCUGACAUAAGUAACGAUAAAGCGGGUGAAAAGCCCGCUCGCCGGAAGACCAAGGGUUCCUGUCCAACGUUAAUCGGGGCAGGGUGAGUCGACCCCUAAGGCGAGGCCGAAAGGCGUAGUCGAUGGGAAACGGGUUAAUAUUCCCGUACUUGGUGUUACUGCGAAGGGGGGACGGAGAAGGCUAUGUUGGCCGGGCGACGGUUGUCCCGGUUUAAGCGUGUAGGUGUGUGUUCCAGGUAAAUCCGGUUCACUUUAACACUGAGGCGUGACGACGAGGCACUACGGUGCUGAAGCAACAAAUGCCCUGCUUCCAGGAAAAGCCUCUAAGCAUCAGGUAACACGAAAUCGUACCCCAAACCGACACAGGUGGUCAGGUAGAGAAUACCAAGGCGCUUGAGAGAACUCGGGUGAAGGAACUAGGCAAAAUGGUGCCGUAACUUCGGGAGAAGGCACGCUGACACGUAGGUGAAGUGAUUUACUCAUGGAGCUGAAGUCAGUCGAAGAUACCAGCUGGCUGCAACUGUUUAUUAAAAACACAGCACUGUGCAAACACGAAAGUGGACGUAUACGGUGUGACGCCUGCCCGGUGCCGGAAGGUUAAUUGAUGGGGUCAGCGCAAGCGAAGCUCCUGAUCGAAGCCCCGGUAAACGGCGGCCGUAACUAUAACGGUCCUAAGGUAGCGAAAUUCCUUGUCGGGUAAGUUCCGACCUGCACGAAUGGCGUAAUGAUGGCCAGGCUGUCUCCACCCGAGACUCAGUGAAAUUGAACUCGCUGUGAAGAUGCAGUGUACCCGCGGCAAGACGGAAAGACCCCGUGAACCUUUACUAUAGCUUGACACUGAACAUUGAGCCUUGAUGUGUAGGAUAGGUGGGAGGCUUUGAAGCGUGGACGCCAGUCUGCGUGGAGCCGACCUUGAAAUACCACCCUUUAAUGUUU
rnacentral:rRNA from 1 species